GAUGGGUGAAACAGGUGAUGGGGACCAGGGAGGGCACCUGUCAUGAUGAGCUCUGGGUGAGGUAUGGAAGGGUUGAAUCACUAUAUUGCAUGCCUGAAACUAAUGUCACAGUGGAUGUUGACUAACUGGAAUUUCGAGAAAAGGAAGAAAAAGUGACCUUGGAUUUGACAGCACGGAGCUCACAGAUGUUUUAAAUUUUUUUUAACGUUUAUUUAUUUUUUGAGACAGAGAGAGAGACAGAGACAGAGUGCAAGCAGGGGGAGGGGCAGAGAGAGAGGGAGACACAGAAUCCGAAGCGGGCUCCAGGCUCCGAGCUGUCAGCACAGAGCCCGACGCGGGGCUCGAACUCAUGGACUGCGAGAUCAUGACCUGUGCCGAAGUCGGGGUGCUUAACUGACGAAGCCACCCAGACACCCCAUGGGUGCUUUAUAGGAGUGGUUCUGUGGGUGUGAUGGUGAGAAGUCAGACCGCAACGUUCAAGGAAUGAAUUAGAGAUGGGAAAACUGAGGCACAAAGAGGCUGAGCAAACUGCCUACUGACACACAGCCAACCCAGGAGCGGCUCUGCUUUGUUUCCCCAGCAGGCGUCCAAAGUAGAAGGAUGCGUUCCAGGAGGUGGUGGAGCUUGCGACUGACCAGAGUCAAAAGUUCGCGGUGUUCUGAGAAUUCAAACAGGAGAGGAGAAUACGCCCUGCUUCCUCAAUAUCCUCUCGACUCCCUCCCGACUCUAUUUUGGGUGACUCUCCAAGCCAUGCUUACUCCCUUCAGAAUCUCCUUUCACAGCCAUAACCAUUAACAAGUCCAUGAGGAAAAACAUCUCUUCUGAUGGGGAAGAGGAAAAGGGCCAGUGACAGCCAGAUUCUGACCCGGGACCCAAAGAGCCCAUAAUGGAUGAGACCCGACAGCGGUCUGAGUCUUGAGCACAGGCUGCGUGUCGUGUUCUUAGAAGGUUCUGAACUGAUGCUGAGGUAGUAAAGAGGAAAUGGGGAAGUCAAGAGAUGCGGAGAAGAUCGGGUUGACCAGUUGGCUGUGGAGAAAGAAGGAGAAGGACGGUGCCCUAACAUCUGGCUUGGCGUUGGGCUGGCGCACAGUGGGAGUAGCAGUGUCCUUGAUUUGCUAUUUUUGAAAUCCAAAGCAAAAGGAUCCCUUCUGGAAUUGAUAACUCCCAACCACUGGGUUCCAGUCUCUCCGCCUUGAAAGGAAUUCUCCUUACGUGACCCUGGUUAUACAACUGGUGUGGGAUAGACAUCCCGCCGAAGUGUCCCUGGAAGACCUCCCCGUAAUGAAAGUCAUUUCUAUUCUGACCCCACAGCGUCUUCGGCUUGACUUCUCGUCUUCCCCAACCACACGUCGGGGUUGGAACCAUCUGACUCCAACUCCAUUCUUGCCUUUGGCUGUGCUACGUCUUUCUUUCCGCGUAACAAGCUCCCAGUCACAUUUCAAGAGCCUGCUUACUUUCUGAACCCUACAGAAACCUUUCUGCCCCAUCUCAGGCAGAAUUAUUUACUCUUUUCUCUGCCAUCUUCCUAGAUUUUGCAAAGGUCUCCUCUGCUAAUCAAAGGGGAAGAAUUCUUUACUUUUCAUCUCAAUAUUUGCUGAGUUUAUAAAUAAGCACUCGGUAAAUAUUGAAGACAUAAGCAAACAAAUGAAUGUCUGAAAUGCGUAAAUUAGUCCUUGUCUUCAACGGCUUAUUUUGCUACUUAGAAAUAGCAAAGGGUUAGUAGAGCCAUGAAAUGAAGGCUUCUAGCACUUGGCUAUUUGUCUGGAAUGCCUCCGUCACCACUUGCCAGCUGUCAGGGGAAAUCACAUCACCUUUGAACCUGAGUGCGUUUCCUCCGCUGUAAAUCGGGGUGGAUGACACCCAACCAGGGGUGACAUCGUUGUGAAGGUUCAGCUGGUAAGCGUGUGCAGGGUGCAUGGCGCCAUGCAUCAAUACUGGGUAUCUGUCAGGAAGUGGUAGAUGGUGGCGGUGGUGACAGAGAGAUAGUUGCAUGAUUUUCUUCUGUGAAGGGGUUCUCUCUUAAAAGAAUGGUUAUCGUAGGUUGAAACCUAUCUCUCAAAGAUAUACGUUGAGGUCCUAACCCCUCAAAUGUGUGACUGUGACCUUAUUUGGAAACAGGGUCUUACAGAUAUUGUCAAAUUAAGAUGAGGUUAUCCUCCCCUAUGGUGGGCCCUAAUCCAAUAAUUGGUGUCCUUGUAAGGAAAGUGGAUUUUGUUUCUUUUGUUUCGUUUCUUCAGCUCUAUUGAGGUGUAACUGACAAAUAAAACUGUAUGUAUUUAAAAUAUAUAAGAUAGAGGGGCGCCUGGGUGGCUCAGUCAGUCCAACAUCUGACUCUCAGUUUUGGCCCAGGUCAUGAUCUCAGGGUUGUGGGAUCGAGUCCCGCUCAGCAUGGAGCCUGCUUGGGAUUCUCUCUCUCUCCCUCUGCUCCUCUCCCCUGUUCUCUCUCACUCUCUUCCAAAUAAAUAAAUAAAUAGAGUGAAAAAUCCCUGCUUUGUUCAAGUCCUGUUGCUAGUACUCUGUGCCAUCGCUCAGACUUCUUGUCUAAAUAAAAAUAAAAUAUAUAAUAUGGUGAUUUGAUAUCUGUUAUACUUUGUAAAAUAUUUACCACAAUUCAGUUAAUUAACACAUCCAUCACCUCACAGAAUUACUGUGUGUGUGUGUGUGUGUGUGUGUGUGUGUGUGUGAAUACUUAAGUCCUACUCUUAGCGAAGUUCAAGUAUGCAAUAUAGUAUUAUUAACUAGGGUCACUAGGCCAUGCCUUAGAUUCCCCAGAGCUCAUUCAUCUUGUAACUGAAGACUUGUACCAACAUCUCCCCCAUCUACCCCCUGGCCCCAGGGCCUGGUAACUACCAUUCUACUCUAUCUAUGAAUUCAGGCUCCCCCUUUCCCAAAAAAGUUCACAUAUAAGUGAGAUCACACAGUAUUUGUCUUUGUCUAUCUGGUUAAUUUCUCUUAGCGUAAUGCCCUCAAGUCAAGGUCUAUCCAUGUUGCUGCAAAUGGAAAGUUUCCUUCCUUUCUCAUGGCUGGGUAGUAUUUCAGUGUGUGCGCGCGCGCGUGUGUGUGUGUGUAUACAUAUACAUACAUACACACAUCACAUUUUCAGGCAUUCAUCCGUGGAUGGACACUUAGGUUGUUUCCAUAUCUUGGCUAUGGUGGAUUUGCUGUAGUCAGCAUGGUGCAAGAUAUCUCUUCAAGAUAUUGAUUUUGUUUCUUUCAGCUAUAUAUCCUGGGAUUGCUGGGUCACCUGGUAGGUCUACUUUCAAUUUUUUUAGGAACCUCCAUACUGUUUUCCCUAAUGGCUGCACCCAUUUACGCUCCCACCAACAGUGUACAAGGGUCUGCUUUUCUCUACAUCCCCACCAAUCCUUCCCUGUUGUCUUUUUGGUAAAAACCACCCUAAGAGGUAUGAGGUGAUGUCUCCUUGUGGUUUUGAGUUGAAUUUCCCUGAUAACUCGUGAUGGUGAGCAUAUUUUCAGGUUCGUUUUGGCCAUUUUAUGUCUCCUUUGGAGAAGUGUCUAUUCAGGUCCCUUGUCCAUUUUUGAAAUUGGAUUACUUGUUCGCGUUUUGUUUUUGUUUUUGUUUUUGUUUUGCCAUUGAGUUACAGAAGUCCCUUCCUCAGUUUGAAUAUUAACCCCUUAUCAGAUACAUGGUUUGCAAAUAUCUUCUCCCAAUCCCAUAAGUGCCUUUCAUUUUGUUGAUGGUUUCCGGUGCUGUGCAGAAGCUUUUGAGUCUCGUGUAAUCUCACGUGUUUAUUUUUCUUGCUGGUGCAGCAAUCAAGGACCCAGUGACCUGGUGUUUGUGGUAAGUGUCAGACAUCGCACUACCUGUGGGUCUGAUACAAGGCACAGUCUGCCCCCAAAUAUAUAUGGUGGGCAUGUCUCAAUGCUUUAAGGACAGACAUUCAUGCAGGUGGAUUGAAACAGACCCAGAAACACUAUGCUUGAUGGAAAGAGGGAGAACAGUGCACCCCGCGAAGAGCGGCAACUUUUAGAAAGUCCGCGAAAUAAACAAUUCCAUGUCCACCUUGGACAAAUACUGCAGGACACGUGUUUCUCCCGGUGAAGACAGUGUCUACUUGAUUUUCAUCACCUUUCAAAGAAAAAGUGGUUCCCAUCAGCACUGUGUGAUUAUGAACCUUGCAGAUACACUUUAUUUGGCAGUGAAAUUUCUUUAAAAAUGAAAGUUGAUGGUGGGAGGGGGUAAGAAAUAGAAGAUUGGCUACAUGUACGCAGAAACCUAUCAAGAAGGAAAAAUGUUACUGGUACUACAUUAAAGCAGUAAUACAAAGCUACUGUUUUGCCUGCUCUCAAUCGAGAUGUUCACACAA